CGCGUACAUGCCACCGGGGCAUCCCGGAGGCAGGAAAGGUUUCGGCCGGACAGGGAUGGGCAUGCGGCGCAUUAGGCAGUAGGCGGGGUAACGGCCCACCUAACCGACGAUGCGUAGGGGUUCUGAGAGGAAGGUCCCCCACACUGGUACUGAGACACGGACCAGACUCCUACGGGAGGCAGCAGUGAGGAAUAUUGGUCAAUGGUCGGGAGACUGAACCAGCCAAGCCGCGUGAGGGAGGAAGGUACAGAGUAUCGUAAACCUCUUUUGUCAGGGAACAAAGGCGGGGACGUGUCCCCGGAUGAGUGUACCUGAAGAAAAAGCAUCGGCUAACUCCGUGCCAGCAGCCGCGGUAAUACGGAGGAUGCGAGCGUUAUCCGGAUUUAUUGGGUUUAAAGGGUGCGCAGGCGGUCUGUUAAGUCAGCGGUCAAAGCCCGGGGCUCAACCCCGGCCCGCCGUUGAAACUGGCAGUCUCGAGUUGGAGAGAAGUAUGCGGAAUGCGCGGUGUAGCGGUGAAAUGCAUAGAUAUC
rnacentral:rRNA from 1 species